AUUGAACGCUGGCGGCAUGCUUUACACAUGCAAGUCGAACGGCAGCGCGGGGCAACCUGGCGGCGAGUGGCGAACGGGUGAGUAAUAUAUCGGAACGUACCCAGAAGUGGGGGAUAACGUAGCGAAAGUUACGCUAAUACCGCAUACGAUCUACGGAUGAAAGUGGGGGACCUUCGGGCCUCAUGCUUGUGGAGCGGCCGAUAUCUGAUUAGCUAGUUGGUGAGGUAAAGGCUCACCAAGGCGACGAUCAGUAGCUGGUCUGAGAGGACGACCAGCCACACGGGGACUGAGACACUGCCCAGACUCCUACGUGAGGCAGCAGUGGGGAAUUUUGGACAAUGGGCGCAAGCCUGAUCCAGCAAUGCCGCGUGAGUGAAGAAGGCCUUCGGGUUGUAAAGCUCUUUUGUCAGGGAAGAAACGGUUUGGGCUAAUAUCCUGGGCUAAUGGCGGUACCUGAAGAAUAAGCACCGGCUAACUACGUGCCAGCCGCCGCCGUAA
rnacentral:rRNA from 1 species